CGUACUUGUUUUGACCUACUACCCUAAAUAAUUGUGUUUUCAGAUAUUGUUUUCAUUAUUCUUUUAUUUAUUUAUUUUUUUGAGAUGGAGUCUCGCUCUGUCGCCAGGCUGGAGUGCGCGGCGCAAUCUCAGCUCACUGCAACCUCUGACUCCCUGGUUCAAGCGAUUCUUCUGCCUCAGCCUCCCGAGUAGCUGGGAUUACAGGUCCUACGGGAAGUGAAGGUGCUGGCAGGUCUUCAGCACCCCAAUAUUGUUGGCUAUCACACCGCGUGGAUAGAACAUGUUCAUGUGAUUCAGCCACGAGCAGACAGAGCUGCCAUUGAGUUGCCAUCUCUGGAAGUGCUCUCCGACCAGGAAGAGGACAGAGAGCAAUGUGGUGUUAAAAAUGAUGAAAGUAGCAGCUCAUCCAUUAUCUUUGCUGAGCCCACCCCAGAAAAAGAAAAACGCUUUGGAGAAUCUGACACUGAAAAUCAGAAUAACAAGUCGGUGAAGUACACCACCAAUUUAGUCAUAAGAGAAUCUGGUGAACUUGAGUCGACCCUGGAGCUCCAGGAAAAUGGCUUGGCUGGUUUGUCUGCCAGUUCAAUUGUGGAACAGCAGCUGCCACUC
rnacentral:lncRNA from 10 species